rnacentral:rRNA from 1 species
CAGUAGCCGCGGUAAAACGUAGGUGGCAAGCGUUGUCCGGAAUUAUUGGGCGUAAAGGGCUCGCAGGCGGUUUCUUAAGUCUGAUGUGAAAGCUCCCGGCUCAACCGGGGAGGGUCAUUGGAAACUGGGAAACUUGAGUGCAGAAGAGGAGAGUGGAAUUCCACGUGUAGCGGUGAAAUGCGUAGAGAUGUGGAGGAACACCAGUGGCGAAGGCGACUCUCUGGUCUGUAACUGACGCUGAGGAGCGAAAGCGUGGGGAGCGAACAGGAUUAGAUACCCCUGUAGUCCCUGUCUCUUAUAA